AUAAAAUUUACUGUGAAUAUUCCAACAACAUUUCGAUCGGCAAAAUAUUUGAUGUCACAUUGGAAAUAAAUUUCAUCAUUCGAUUUGGAACACAGAGUCACUUUGUUGAGUUCUUCAAGAAUGAAAAGAAAAAGAGAUAACGAGAAAAUAAUUUAGUUGCAAUAAAAUAUGGCUUGCAAACAAUACUUCGACCCAAGCAUGCAGCAUUUGUGACGCAAAUAUUGUUUGAGCGCAGUCUUCAAAUGACGGAAGUUGCCACAUUGGCCUCUCUUUUGAUUUUAUUCAAGGAAAACAUCACAAUACCAAACACGCGUACUCAGAAGUAAAGAAGAGAUAAAGAGGCGACAAAAUUAACUGGAUUUUGAUCAUUACAUGAAGUCGAACCAAGUAAAUGAUAACAUCGUCGUGACAGUGACCUACAACAUGCCGUCAAUUAUCUCUGGUGCAUCGGAGAUGCCACCCAAUCGGUCAUUUGGUUUGAGGAGACGGAAAAGAUGUCCAGGAUCGCGGAAAUUUUUGGUGAGCGUAUUGCCAAGAAUGAUUUCCAGUGAACACAAAACCGCAUCGAUUCAAAGUGUGCUACGGUUGCAAAGCGAAACCGAUUGCUGGACUACCGGACUCAGUCGCUAGUCUACUAGACAUAAUUGUGGUAAUAGCAACUUUACAAAAAUUGGCCAUUAAAUGUUCAAGAUGAUGAUGCUGCUCUACAGACCGCGAUAUUGUUGCUGCAAAAUGCAUUAUGCU